rnacentral:rRNA from 2 species
CCUACGGGAGGCAGCAGUGGGGAAUAUUGGGCAAUGGAGGAAACUCUGACCCAGCGACGCCGCGUGCGGGAUGAAGGCCUUCGGGUUGUAAACCGCUUUCAGUAGGGAAGAAGCGAAAGUGACGGUACCUACAAAAGAAGCACCGGCUAACUAUGUGCCAGCAGCCGCGGUAAU